CCUACGGGUGGCUGCAGUGAGGAAUAUUGGUCAAUGGGCGCGAGCCUGAACCAGCCACGUAGCGUGAAGGAUGACUGCCCUACGGGUUGUAAACUUCUUUUAUAAAGGAAUAAAGUGAGGCACGUGUGCCUUUUUGUAUGUACUUUAUGAAUAAGGAUCGGCUAACUCCGUGCCAGCAGCCGCGGUAAUACGGAGGAUCCGAGCGUUAUCCGGAUUUAGUGGGUUUAAAGGGAGCGUAGAUGGGUUGUUAAGUCAGUUGUGAAAGUUUGCGGCUCAACCGUAAAAUUUCAAUUGAUACUGGCAGUCUUGAGUACAGUUGAGGGAGGCGGAAUUCGUGGUGUAGCGGUGAAAUGCUUAGAUAUCACGAAGAACUCCGAUUGCGAAGGCAGCUUACUAAACUGCCACUGACAUUGAGGCUCGAAAGUGUGGGGAGCAAACAGGAUUAGAUACCCCAGUAGUC
rnacentral:rRNA from 1 species